AACGCACAUUGCGCCCCCCGGCAUUCCGGGGGGCAUGCCUGUUCGAGCGUCAUUUCACCAAUCAAGCCACGCUUGGUGUUGGGCCCGCGGCCCGCCCUCAGCGGCGGGCCCGCCCGAAACGCAUCGGCGAGGCGACCGACCCCCGGCGUACCAAGGAACCCCAAAUUCCGCGCGUCGGGAGCACCGGUGGCCCCCGCCGCGACCCCCAUCGUCAAAGGUUGACCUCGGAUCAGGUAGGGAUACCCGCUGAACUUAA
rnacentral:misc_RNA from 1 species